ACUGUUGGCUCGGAGUAACCCCGCCCCUUCCUGUCGGUGGGAGCUCCGUCUGCGCGCUCACGCCUAGCUCAAGCUAGCAUUAGCGGCGCAAAAAUGACGACGAGCAAAAUUGGAUAAAUUUAUCCGCACAGUUUUGAGCCAGAGGCCAGCUUAGACGAGGAAAAUAAAGAUAUACGUGGUACAAGUGGAUGCAGCAGAAUUAUGUGGAGAAGAGAGGCACCAAUUUCAGUAAGUAAGUGCGUCAUUAGUCUGAGUUUUUCCCAAGCAUCCGGUUUACAAGGGCGUGUCCAGACGGGGGGGGGGUUGUUUAAAUGUGCCACUCCGAGUAACACCCCCUACCACACCUGCAAGGUGACACCACAGUCUAUGGGUGAGACUCUAAAUCUGGGUUCUGUGUUACAUUUUAAACGACGCAUUUUAAGGGGAAUUAUUAGCUCAUAUUUCCGAGCUUCCAUGAACGCAGCACUCAAGUACUGUGUGCGUACCCGCCCCCCGCAUCGUCGGUAUCACACCCUAUAAAAGGCUGGAAAGUUGCGUUGACGGAAGUAAUCAAAAGGAGCCAUAUUCACGGAUCAACAAGUUGGAGCAGGAAAGGUUUCAAAAGAUUGCAGAUAUCUUCAUUAAGAAGCACAAGUUAGAAAACGGAAGGAGAAGGACUGAGAAGCAGCAGCCAUCAGGGUCCACGGUGAGUACUCCAAAUCAAAGUAUGUGUUGGAGAAUAAGAUAAGUGUGAGGAAGUGAUGUUUCUCAUGGAAAUAAGUUUCUAAAUAAAUGCAUUGACAUGGUGAUGUUACCAUUAUUUUCGAACCAUAGACCCUCCGAUCUGCAAUAAAUGGCAAGUCUAUCAGGUGUUCUAGAUGCUUGUCUCCAAUAUUGGCCGGGCUACUUUAAGAUACCAGAUGGGCACAAUGAUGGCCAAGAAGCGCCCAUUCAGUUUUGGGUUUAGACUUUGUGCGGUGGCGUUCACCAAGGAACAUUCUGGUGAGAAAUCUGCACAACAUUUUGGAGUGCAUCAUAACGCAUCCGAGAAGGCGCAAGCAAAUGAGAAAUAUGGAGGAGAUAGCUACAGAAAAAGGAGCAGACUAUUUCCUGGUUCAGGUGCAAAGACAGCAAUCAACGAAUAAGAAGAACUGGUUUGUACAUGGAUUAUUGAGCAAAGACGGAAAGGCCUGUGUCUCCAAGAAAAUGAUUCACAUCAAAGCGAAGAAGAUUUUUAAAACAGAUUGAUGAUGUUUCAACAAGAAAAGAAACAUUCACAACCAGUGCUAAUUAGGUCAUAGUACAAUGUUCUCAUCAUUUCAAUUAAUCCUGAAAUGUU